AACCCCAUGUUACCCAUAGAUUUCAGGCAUUGUAUGGAAGAACAUUGGGAAACUCCCUGCUCUGUUCUGUUUCACUCUGACUACCAGUGCAUGAAACCCCUGUCACGUAUCCCCUAGAUUGCUCAAUCAGUCACAACCCUUUCAUGUAAAAUCUUUAGUGUUGUGAGCCCUUAAAAGGGACAGAAAUUGUGCGCUCGGGGAGCUCGGAUUUUAAGGCAGUAGCUUGCUGAUUCUCCCAGCUGAAUAAAGCCCUUCCUUCUACAACUCGGUGUCUGAGAUAUUUUGUCUGCGGCUAGUCCUGCUACAUUUCUUGGCUCCCUGACCGGGAAACGAGGUAACUGACAUAUGGCCGAGGCAGCCCCUUAGGCGGCUUAGGCCUGCCCUGUGGAACAUCCCUGCAGGGAACUCUGGCCAGCCUGAGUGAUGUGAUCCAAGGAGCACUCCCGGGUAGAAAAUUGCCCUGGUGGAACGCCUCACCAGAGCAGCACGUAGCAGGCCCCCCAUGGAGGAUUAACACAGUGGCUGAACACCAGGAAGGAAAUGGCACUUGGAGUCUGGACAUCUGAAACUUGUGUGAUGAAGUAUCAACAUAAAUUUCUGGGAGGAUUAUGGCCAUUAUACAAUUAACUAAAGAGACAUUAAGACUCACGUUGAGUAGAGGUAAAGAGCUGUGCAGUGAAGGAUCUUCAGUGACAGGAGUGAAGGCAGAGAAUGUUCACAGAUGCAGAGCAGUUGGAAUAUUUCUUGAAGAAAGAAUGUUUGUUGAAAUCUUCCAUUUGGAGUCAGGAAAAGUUCUUCUGUUGUCAUUCCUGUGUAGCCUGAAGUUAGUCACCUUUGUAAAAACUAGGAGAAGACUAUUUAUCCACUGGCCGCUACAGUUUCUUCUAUUCCACACCCAUAAAAUAUUAGCAUAGUGAUCAUGGCAAACCCCCAAUAUAAAAAAGAGAUACUCAAUUGUGUCAAUAAUUGAGAGAAUAAACAUGUAAUAAAUAAAAGUGUGUUAUUCUAAUAACUGUUUUUGUCUUAUUUAAUUUUGGCUGCCAUAACAAAGCAUCGUAGACUACAUGGCUUAUAAACAAUAGGAAUUUAUUUCUGAGUUCUAGAGUCUAGAAGUCUGAGAUCAGGGCACCAGCAUGGUCAGGUUCUGCUGAGGGUCCUCUUCUGGACUAUAGAUUGCAGAAUUCUCAUUGUAUAUUUAUUGUAUC